rnacentral:rRNA from 1 species
UACAGAGGGUGCGAGCGUUGUCCGGAAUCACUGGGCGUAAAGGGCGCGUAGGUGGCGACCCAAGUCGAUGGUGAAAAGCUCGCCGCUCAACGGCGAGUCGGCCACUGAUACUGGGUUGCUCGAGCACUGUAGAGGCAGAUGGAAUUCCGGGUGUAGCGGUGGAAUGCGUAGAGAUCCGGAAGAACACCGGUGGCGAAGGCGGUCUGCUGGGCAGUAGCUGACACUGAGGCGCGACAGCGUGGGGAGCAAACAGG